rnacentral:misc_RNA from 1 species
GAUGAAGAACGCAGUAAAAUGCGAUAAGUAAUGUGAAUUGCAGAAUUCAGUGAAUCAUCGAAUCUUUGAACGCACAUUGCGCCCGCCAGUAUUCUGGCGGGCAUGCCUGUUCGAGCGUCAUUUCAACCCUCAAGCUCAGCUUGGUGUUGGGACUCGCGGUAACCCGCGUUCCCCAAAUCGAUUGGCGGUCACGUCGAGCUUCCAUAGCGUAGUAAUCAUACACCUCGUUACUGGUAAUCGUCGCGGCCACGCCGUAAAACCCCAACUUCUGAAUGUUGACCUCGGAUCAGGUAGGAAUACCCGCUGAACUUAAGCAUAUCAAUAAGCGGAGGA